rnacentral:lncRNA from 10 species
CUCAGCGAAAGGUCGCUCAGGGCUCAGGAGGCCACGUGUAGGAGCCAGUAAAAAGGGCGAAUGUGCAUUUGCCUUCCUCCUUCUCCUUUUCAAACAGCUCCCUAACCACCCAGCAGGCCUGGCUCUGCUUUCACACAGGAAAAGUCCAUUCUGGCUUUCCAAGGCCCUCAGGCAGCCACAGCCCUACGUGGCCUCAUUCCAGCAGGAAGUGUCAAAGGAAUUCUGCCCUGGGACAUCUCACUUCUUUCCUGAUAAUGGGCCAGCACUGUCCUUCCUCCCCUUUGCAGGUCUGAGGGGCAGACACCAUGCCGUGGUGACAGCGUGAUCCCUUGAUGGAAAGGCCACCAGAACCACUGGUAGUGCAGCUGGACACUGCGGAGCCCUGGGACCACACCCGCUGCCUCCCUCCAGACUCCUUAGGUCUAUGCCGUGUGCCUGGCUUUUUCCAACCACUCCGAAUUGAUCAUUUCCUAAUGACCACAUGGCUCAGAAACUCACAGCACAUCCUUCUAGGGGCCUCUUUCUCCCAAGUCCUCCCAGGGACUUGGCAGCUUCAUCUCUAAGGCCUGCAGAGGCUGUGGCUAUGGCUGUCCAUUGUUCUCGCUCCUUGGCUUCAGUUCAGAGCCAUCAAAUCCCUGCAGCUCGCACACUGGAACAUUCAUAUUUUGGAUAAGUCAACAAAACAGCUUCUAGAAAAUGGAAAACCCAGAGUGUGAUCUACCAGGAGCUCCUGGUUUCAACCAGUUCCUUGCUGUACCUGCUGGGCCUGUGAUACGAAGAAACAUCAUGGCUUCAAUGGCAGCCUUGGAAAUGAACUUCAUUGAAAGGGAAUUUACACUGAGGUUUAUGAUUGCUGCUAUGAAAAGAGUGCACAUCCUUUCCUUCGAAACACAAGUAAGUAAGAGCCACAUGUUACUGUGACAGGGCAGUAUUUUAGGGAUAAAGAAAAAUUAGAACUAUUUUAGUCUUCACUAGCAUAUACACACAAACACACACAUAUAGUUUCACCAUUGAUGGAAUAAUAUGCAGCAGAUAAAAUGAAUAAAUUAGAGCUAAAUACGUCUAAAUUCAUAAAUCUCAAAAACAUAACGGUAUAGUGGUGAGUGAAAGUAACAUGUUUUGGAAGGGUAUAUGAAACAUGAUCAAAUUACAAUUUUUUAAAAACACAGGAUAAUACUAUGUAUCAUUACUGGUCACAUGCAUGUGUAGUAGAAAUAUGAAAACAUGAAUCAAAGGAUAUCACCAAAUUUGAGAGGUGGAAAGUAGAAUGGGCACAGAUCUGAGACGUUUUCCAUAAAGAAUUAUUUUCUCUCUGUACCAUUCUAUUUCUUUAAAAAUAUCUGAAGGGAAAUGAAAAAAAAUUAGUAUUUGCUAAGUUGUGGUUUCAGGUCCAUGGGUCUUUUUGACAUUCUCCAUACUUUUCUUUAUAUUAAUCUUUCAUAUAAUCAAUGGGGCAAAUUUUUGUCUAAGAAAAAAGGGAUCCAAUUGACUUUUAUUUAACUCUUUGGAAUAAAAAUACGAAGCCAGGUCAACCUGUAAGAAUGUGAAUCAAUUCCCAUCUCAGAUUCCUCAUCACAAAGGCCUAAAGAUCAUGGGAGUGGGGAAAAGGUUGCACAAAAGGACACGAUUUGUUCACUUCAUACAAGUGUCCUUUGAAAAUAGAAGCACAAGUAAAAUCUUUUUUAAAAGAAUUUUUUUGUUUUAAUUUCAACUACUUUUUCA